GGGUAGCCUAGUGGACAUGGCAUCUGCCCGGUAAGCGGAACACUGUGGGUUCGAUUCCCAUCCUUGGACA